rnacentral:rRNA from 1 species
UACGUAGGGUGCGAGCGUUGUCCGGAAUUAUUGGGCGUAAAGAGCACGUAGGCGGUUUGAUAAGCGGAAUGUGAAAGCCCCGGGCUUAACCUGGGAACUGCAUUCCGAACUGUCAGGCUAGAGUAUGAUAGAGGUGAGCGGAAUUUCCUGUGUAACGGUGAAAUGCGUAGAUAUAGGAAGGAACAUCAGUUGCGAAGGCGGCUCACUGGAUCAAUACUGACGCUGAGGUGCGAAAGCGUGGGUAGCGAACAGG